rnacentral:rRNA from 1 species
UACAGGGGGCUCGAGCGUUAAUCGGAAUCACUGGGCUUAAAGGGCGCGUAGGCGGCCUGUUAAGUCGAACGUGAAAUCCCCGGGCUCAACCCGGGAACUGCGUCCGAUACUGGCAGGCUUGAAUCCGGGAGAGGGAUGCGGAAUUCCAGGUGUAGCGGUGAAAUGCGUAGAGAUGUGGAGGAACACCGAUGGCGAAGGCAGCCCCCUGGGUCAAGAUUGACGCUCAUGCACGAAAGCGUGGGGAGCAAACAGG